UACGAAGGGGGCUAGCGUUGUUCGGAAUUACUGGGCGUAAAGCGCGCGUAGGCGGUGAUCUUUGUCAGAGGUGAAAUUCCGAGGCUCAACUUCGGAAUUGCCUUUGAAACGGGAUUGCUUGAGUCCGAGAGAGGAUGGCGGAAUUCCUAGUGUAGAGGUGAAAUUCGUAGAUAUUAGGAAGAACACCGGUGGCGAAGGCGGCCAUCUGGCUCGGUACUGACGCUCAGGCGCGAAAGCAUGGGGAGCGAACAGG
rnacentral:rRNA from 1 species